UGUUGACCCUUCGUCCGGCCUCUCACCUCUUCAGAUCCUUCGGAGAUCCCCAAAGUUUGAGUCUUUUUCUGGUUUAAUCCUUGAAAGGAGGAGAAAGAUGAAUCCUUUGAGCAAGAAGAUCUAUCUCUACAAUGUCACCAUGGGGCUUUACAUGCUGGAUUGGUGGGAGCGCUAUCUUUUCAAUAUAUUGAUAUUGGUUUUGCUUUGGUUUAUCUGCUACAAUGGCUGCAGAUUUGUUACUCAGAUCUACAACAGCAAUUUUUCUGCAGAGUUCAUGGUUGGCAAAAAGUUCAGCACUGCCGGAUUUGUACCAACCUAAUCUAUUAAACGAUCAAGCAUUAGCGAUAGUAAAGAUGGCUGUCGAUGAGGUCAUAUCGGUUAUGCUUGUUUAACUUUACAGAAUUAAUGUACAGUAAAAAAAACCUUUGAAUGUGUGAAUUUCUUCAGUAAUGUUGAGAAGAGUAGACAUUUGCUUGAUUUCAUCUCUUGUUAUUUAUGCGAAUUUCCGAAUCAUGUAAAUCUUUCUGACAUUAAAUUUCAUCGGUUUAUGCAUGAUACAAUUAGAUGUA